rnacentral:rRNA from 1 species
AGUGAACGCUGGCGGUAGGCCUAACACAUGCAAGUCGAACGGCAGCACAGUAAGAGCUUGCUCUUACGGGUGGCGAGUGGCGGACGGGUGAGGAAUACAUCGGAAUCUACUUUUUCGUGGGGGAUAACGUAGGGAAACUUACGCUAAUACCGCAUACGACCUACGGGUGAAAGCAGGGGAUCUUCGGACCUUGCGCGAUUGAAUGAGCCGAUGUCGGAUUAGCUAGUUGGCGGGGUAAAGGCCCACCAAGGCGACGAUCCGUAGCUGGUCUGAGAGGAUGAUCAGCCACACUGCACCUGAGACACGGUCCAGACUCCUACGGGAGGCAGCAGUGGGGAAUAUUGGACAAUGCGCGCAAGCCUGAUCCAGCCAUACCGCGUGGGUGAAGAAGGCCUUCGGGUUGUAAAGCCCUUUUGUUGGGAAAGAAAAGCAGCAGGUUAAUCCCCCGCUGUUCUGACGGUACCCAAAGAAUAAGCACCGGCUAACUUCGUG